GAUGAACGCUGGCGGCGUGCCUAAUACAUGCAAGUCGAGCGAACAGACGAGGAGCUUGCUCCUCUGACGUUAGCGGCGGACGGGUGAGUCACACGUGGAUAACCUCCCUAUAAGACUGGGAUAACUUCGGGAAACCGGAUCUAAUACCGGAUAAUAUCUUGAACCGCAUGGUCCAAUAGUGAAAUACGGUUUUGCUGUCACUUAUAGCUGGAUCCGCGCCGCAUUAGCUAGUUGGUAAGGUCACGGCUUACCAAGGCAACGAUGCGUAGCCGAACUGAGAGGGUGAUCGGCCACACUGGAACUGAGACACGGUCCAUACUCCUACGGGAGGCAGCAGUAGGGAAUCGUCCGCAAUGGGCGAAAGCUUUACGGAGCAACGCCGCGUGAGUGAUGAAGAUCUUCGGAUCGUAAAACUCUGUUAUUAGUGAAGAACAAAUGUGUAAGGAACUAUGCACGGCGUGACGGUACCUAAUCAGAAAGCCACGGCUAACUACGUG
rnacentral:rRNA from 1 species